UUUCUUCUCCUUCCACUGCUGCUUCUUUUUCUUCCGCCUUUUCUUCUACUUUUUCUUCAACGACACUUCUCAAAGGUAUAAGAGAACUUGGUCGAAUGUAUGAGGAGGUCUGCUUCAAUGCACUUGAUGGAAAAGAAGA
rnacentral:ribozyme from 12 species